UACGUAGGGGGCAAGCGUUGUCCGGAUUCAUUGGGCGUAAAGAGCGUGUAGGCGGCCAGGUAGGUCGGUUGUGAAAACUGGAGGCUCAACCUUCAGAGGUCGACCGAAACCAUCUGGCUAGAGUCCGGGAGAGGAGAGUGGAAUUCCCCAAGUAGAGGUGAAAUUCGUAGAUAUGGGGAGGAACACCGGUGGCGAAGGCGGCCACCUGGACGGUCACUGACGCUGAGACGCGAAAGCGUGGGGAGCAAACAGG
rnacentral:rRNA from 1 species